GCGAUGGCGUCUUCAGUGGAUCUGUUGGGUCGGUAGGCGAACUGGAGCGGAUCUGUGGAGUCUGGGAUGGAGGAGGAGAUGAUGUUCUUCAGCAGCCUCUCAAACACCUUCAUGACUACCGAGGUCAGCGCAACUGGCCGGUAAUCGUUCAGGGAUGAGGGUUUGCUGUUCUUGGGCACCGGGAUGAUGGUGGAUCUUUUGAAGCAUGUGGGGACCACAGACUUCGCCAGGGACUCGUUGAAGAUCCUGUGGAUACAAAUGCAGAUUUCCUUAAUGUUCAAUGGUGCGUGUUCUUCUAAUGGCUGCCUUCCCACUGGAGGUUUUGAUCCACAGCAAUUUAAAAGGAGGACAGAGCAAAACGGACAUCGGCGCAGAGCGAAGAACUGCCCUUCAUAAGGACACUAUGACAGCCAUAUAUAUGGCAGUAAGGAAGAGGUUUCCCACUGUGUCCAGAAGGGCUUUGAGGAUUGCAGUGAAAGCUGGGGGAACUGAGACUGCUGGAAAAGGAAAAGAAAUUACAUUUUAAGUAUGUUGACUUAUGUUCAUACAUUCACACACACAUAUACACAUACACACACAUAUGUAUAUAUAUAUAUACAUAUACACACACAUAUAUGUAUAUGUGUGUGUGUGUGUUUCUUUUAGAAUGUUUAAGUAUGUAAUGAGAAUAAAAUUAUAAAAUGAAUAUUCCUUGCUUGAUUGAUAUGCUAUAUGUAUGUUUUAAACAUCAAAUAAAGAU
ensembl:lncRNA